UAUACGACACCGACAAUUGUCAUCUCACGCCACUCGUAGAAUAAACCCAAUAGUUUAAGUUUUCGUGGUUUUGACGAGAGUGAACAAUCUUCAAACCGUGAGAAUUGCCGAGAUCUCUGUGUUUUCCUCGCGCACCACAGCAAGAGUAAUGUAUUCUCGGGAGCUUCCGCUACUACACAAAACGAGCUGAUUAUGAUCAUAGGCGAAACGAUGAUCGACGAAAUGAUUGGAGAAGUACAGGAAGCGAAAUAGGGUGUUUUAUGUAUUUUGGACAGAGCGUUACGCGUAUAUAAUUUGGCCACCUUCAUUUGAUUUUGCCGUAAAUGGCCAAAUUAUAUACGCGUAAAGGUCUGUCCAAAUUACUUUGAUCACCCUAUGCAGCAGUGAUGGUGGAUGACACGACUGACAAUUCCAGAAAAUCCCAGCUUGGCAUGACACUUCGGUAUUGUUUGAAAAUGGGAAAGCCUUUGAACGUUUGGUACAGAUCGAAGACGUGAGUGACGAUAAAUUAGCAGCAUCUAUAGCUGAGCAUGUCAUGCAAACCCUGAACAUGUUUAAGAUUGGUGCAGAGAAUUUUGGUAAGGUGUAGUGGAAAACGACGGUUCAAAUAGGAAGCAGAACCGACCUAUGACUCCAG